rnacentral:rRNA from 1 species
UACAGAGGUCCCAAGCGUUUGUUCGGAUUCACUGGGCGUAAAGGGUGCGUAGGCGGCGCGGUAAGUCGGGUGUGAAAUCUUGGAGCUUAACUCCGAAACUGCAUUCGAUACUGCCGUGCUUGAGGACUGGAGAGGAGACUGGAAUUUACGGUGUAGCGGUGAAAUGCGUAGAUAUCGUAAGGAAGACCAGUGGCGAAGGCGGGGUCUCUGGACAGUUCCUGACGCUGAGGCACGAAGGCCAGGGGAGCAAACGGG